UACGUAGGGGGCUAGCGUUGUCCGGAAUCAUUGGGCGUAAAGCGCGUGUAGGCGGUUUGGUAAGUCCGCUGUGAAAGUCGGGGGCUCAACCCUCGAAUGCCUGUGGAUACUGUCGAACUAGAGUGCGGAAGAGGCGAGUGGAAUUCCUGGUGUAGCGGUGAAAUGCGCAGAUAUCAGGAGGAACACCAAUUGCGAAGGCAGCUCGCUGGGACGUAACUGACGCUGAGACGCGAAAGCGUGGGGAGCAAACAGG
rnacentral:rRNA from 1 species